rnacentral:rRNA from 1 species
AUGAACGCUAGCUACAGGCUUAACACAUGCAAGUCGAGGGGCAGCAUGGUCUUAGCUUGCUAAGACUGAUGGCGACCGGCGCACGGGUGAGUAACACGUAUCCAACCUGCCGUCUACUCUUGGACAGCCUUCUGAAAGGAAGAUUAAUACAAGAUGGCAUCAUGAGUCCGCAUGUUCACAUGAUUAAAGGUAUUCCGGUAGACGAUGGGGAUGCGUUCCAUUAGAUAGUAGGCGGGGUAACGGCCCACCUAGUCUUCGAUGGAUAGGGGUUCUGAGAGGAAGGUCCCCCACAUUGGAACUGAGACACGGUCCAAACUCCUACGGGAGGCAGCAGUGAGGAAUAUUGGUCAAUGGGCGAGAGCCUGAACCAGCCAAGUAGCGUGAAGGAUGACUGCCCUAUGGGUUGUAAACUUCUUUUAUAAAGGAAUAAAGUCGGGUAUGUAUACCCGUUUGCAUGUACUUUAUGAAUAAGGAUCGGCUAACUCCGUGCCAGCAGCCGCGGUAAUACGGAGGAUCCGAGCGUUAUCCGGAUUUAUUGGGUUUAAAGGGAGCGUAGAUGGAUGUUUAAGUCAGUUGUGAAAGUUUGCGGCUCAACCGUAAAAUUGCAGUUGAUACUGGAUAUCUUGAGUGCAGUUGAGGCAGGCGGAAUUCGUGGUGUAGCGGUGAAAUGCUUAGAUAUCACGAAGAACUCCGAUUGCGAAGGCAGCCUGCUAAGCUGCAACUGACAUUGAGGCUCGAAAGUGUGGGUAUCAAACAGGAUUAGAUACCCUGGUAGUCCACACGGUAAACGAUGAAUACUCGCUGUUUGCGAUAUACGGCAAGCGGCCAAGCGAAAGCGUUAAGUAUUCCACCUGGGGAGUACGCCGGCAACGGUGAAACUCAAAGGAAUUGACGGGGGCCCGCACAAGCGGUGGAGCAUGUGGUUUAAUUCGAAGCAACGCGAAGAACCUUACCAGGUCUUGACAUCGAUCUAAAGGCUCCAGAGAUGGAGAGAUAGCUAUAGAGAAGACAGGUGGUGCAUGGUUGUCGUCAGCUCGUGCCGUGAGGUGUCGGCUUAAGUGCCAUAACGAGCGCAACCCUUGUUGUCAGUUACUAACAGGUUUCGCUGAGGACUCUGACAAGACUGCCAUCGUAAGAUGUGAGGAAGGUGGGGAUGACGUCAAAUCAGCACGGCCCUUACGUCCGGGGCUACACACGUGUUACAAUGGGGGGUACAGAGGGCCGCUACCACGCGAGUGGAUGCCAAUCCCAAAAACCUCUCUCAGUUCGGACUGGAGUCUGCAACCCGACUCCACGAAGCUGGAUUCGCUAGUAAUCGCGCAUCAGCCACGGCGCGGUGAAUACGUUCCCGGGCCUUGUACACACCGCCCGUCAAGCCAUGGGAGCCGGGGGUACCUGAAGUGCGUAACCGCGAGGAGCGCCCUAGGGUAAAACUGGUGACUGGGGCU